GGCCGUCCGCUCAUAAGAGCAAGUAGGAUUUUUUGACCCUCUCUUCCCAUUCAAUGGGAUGCUCUUCAUGACGUAUAGGGGUGCCACUAUAAGAUCCCAUGAAGAAGAAAGUGUAAAGAGAAAACUUACUUUCUUACAAAAUUCUAGAUCUUGAAACCUUAGGUAUUGUUGUAUGUGAUGCAAGUUGUAAAGAUAGUUACAACUAAUCUUG
rnacentral:lncRNA from 1 species